ACUCACCUGCCCGAGUUUCUGGUGCGUCUGCAGGAAACGAGAGACUCUGUGUCUUUGCCUCGUGAGCUCCGUCUGCAGCCCUGGGGCUCUGAGAACAUGACAGGCGCCCCCGUGAGUCGCCGGCACCCGUGGUCGCUGGGGCCCUGGCCGCUGAGCCGUGGGGAUGCGCAUCUCAUGGACAGGGAGGGAGGCCCGGGCAGCAGGGAGCGGGCAGGGGGGCGGCGGGUGAGCGCCUGCGUCAGGCCGGUGCAGCCCGGGGAGCGCUGGCCACGGGGACUCAGACGCCCCUGGCGUGUGCUUCACGCAGGUUCUGGCUCCGUCUCGUCCCGACUGUGUGGCCCUGGGCAGGUCACUCGACCUGAGCUCUGGGGCACUGCACACGGUCAAGCGAGGCCCCGGGCCCAGGGACGGGAUGGGACGGGGGUGACGGGGACAUCUGCAGGCCCCUCCUCUGGGCAGAAGCUUUUCUGUUUUCCAGUUUCCAACCCAGGGCUGUGGAGCGUGUGCAGGGUGUGCUGAGCGCGAUCCCCGGGCGCCCCCAGGCCUCCUGGGUCACGUGCCUUCCACCGAGCUCGGGCUGGGCCGCGGCUGCAGGGGCGCCCUCUGCUCCCCAGGGGUGGGGUCUCCGAGCUGGGCCGCCUGUGAGGUCAUCGUGGGGCGCGGGGGGCCCUUUCUUGCACCUUCUCGCUCGGACUUCUGGGUAAGUUCUGGGGAAGGAGCAGGUUUUCCGGGUGGUGCUUCUUUUUCGGGGUGUGUGGGUGAGGGGAGGCUCGGCCUGCCCGAGGUGACCCUCAGGCCUGUUGUCCGUGAGUCCUGGGGUUGGGGAGGGGACACCUGGGGACAGCUGGGAGCAGGGCGGGAGCACAGGCCCUGGCUUCCGUGCAGGGUGUGUGGCAGGCAGACCCGUGGGUCCUUGUCACGGCCCCGAGGCCCCGAGGUGCACGUGGUGACGGACUGUCCUCACUCGACUGCUCAACUCCCGGGACCUGGCUCCUGGGCUCGGAGCUUCCCUCCAAACCGUCCGGUUUCAGCGAGCGUCCUGCUGGCCCGCGAGGCAGGAGCCCGGGGCCUGGCAGCUGACCGGCCACCCCGAUGCCUCCUGCGGGGAUCCCAGGGGCCCCUGCUCCUGGCUCUCGCUCCCGCCGUGUCUGAGAGCAGCGCAGGGCGGAGGCCGCGGCAGUGCAGGCUCCUCCGUGUCAGGCGGCUGUGGGGCAGGUGUGGGCCCCGCGCUGAGCGCAGCGUGGACGUGGGCGCGGCCCUCGGGGAGGACCUUUCUCCAGCAGUGAGACCCGAGCCAGCCCCUGACUGAACACAGGAGGGAGCCGGGAAGAUGGUGGCAGCGCACCCAGCGCAGGACCUCGCCCAAGACAGGCCCGACCCCUGCAACGAGACCCAGGCCCCAGCAGGGGAGACCCCGGCCGCUGCAGUGGAGACCCCGGCCCCUGGGGAGACCCAGCACAUUUGAGGCCCAGGAGACAGACGGUCUCACGCUUGUCCUGGUUCGCCUCCCACUGGGGACCAUUUUGCCCUCGGCCAGCACAUGUGCUCAGGGUGGCCCUGGGCACCUCCCGCUUCCGGCCCACCAUGAGCCUCACCUCGUCCGUCCUUGGUCCCUGGUGCCGAGGAGCAAGGGCAGCCGAGCAGCAGCCGAGCAGGGCCUGGGUGUGCCCCCCCCCCCCGUCUUUCCCUUGUUUCUUGCCCACGGCCUACGGAUGAGUUUCUAGGGUUUACGGAGGGAUGAGGACACACCCUGAGCUGUACUCGCUGGAACCGCGGGGAUCCGCGGGGGGAGCAGCAGGGCAGUGGGCAGGGCCACCCCGUGUGCCCGCGCGGGGGCAGUGAGGACACACCUCAGGGCCCAGCCCUCAGAUGAGGGCUCCCUGGGAAGGAAGGCAGUAAAGGCCGGAGAAGUUGUACUUUGCUGUUUCACGUUGAUCGCGGGCACAGGUUGCAGAAGUGGAGACGUUAACCUGGAUGAAACAGAAACCCUUGCAGGUGAAUUUCCGAGCCAGCCCUGCAGCGGGGGUGACCCUCGGCUGCCGUGAUGUCCCCGAGUGGCCCCGUAGCAGAGCCUGUGUCACGGGUGACCCCGGGCCAGCUGCAGGGGGGGGGUCAGGCCCCCAGUAGCCCCGGGCCAGGCUGCGGCCCCGCCCAUGAGGGGGGCUGCGGGGCUGAGGCAUCCUCCUGGUGGGGUGCCGUCCGGCUGGCUUCUGAACCGGCUGUCGGUGGUGGGUCCCGUGUUCGCGAGCUCCUCACCACGUUCCCCCAAAACCAGCGUCCCUGCGUGCGGUGUGGCCCAGCGACACGUG
rnacentral:lncRNA from 12 species